UACAGAAGCCCUGUGUGCCACAUGAGCUACUAUGGUGUCACAAGCCUUUAUCCACUGCUUCCCUGCAAGAGUCAUGCCCACUCAACAGGAUCAUGUCUGGGAUCCUGUGGAGGGAUGCUGUGUGUCUUCAGGAUAAGUCUCAUUGAGUUCAGCCUCUCUCGAGCUACUCCCACAUAUAUGUUCAGAUGCGUAUCUCCUGGAUGCAAAAAUGAAGAAUGAAGAGAAAGACCAAGGCCAACCGAAAAAGCCCCUAGACGAAGACAAAUAAAGGCUUAGAAUUUA
rnacentral:lncRNA from 1 species